GACAGAGAGAAGACGGAAAUAUAGUCAUCCUCGUGUCACUGGUCCAGUUUUAUACCCGUUCAGUUACUAGCUGCUCUAGUACAUAUUGAGUGAGGAACACACGAGGCAUCUUUGGAGAACAAUCGCAAGCAACGACCAACAAUGAACGCCCACAUCGGAAUGCAGUGGAAUGUCGUUUGCAGCCCUCGGGUAGGAAAAAUGUGAGUUAUUGUUCUAAACAAAGAAAGGCUAGCCACUCGGCCAUUUUGUCUGACUGACGCUGAACUCAACUGAACCACCCAACUCAAUUCAACUGGUGGGACUAAUAAACAACAAGAUAACAAAUGUAAAAUAAACUGUGUCUGUAGAAUGUACACACAUAUGUGGCAAAUACAAAUCAAACUGGAUGGACAUCAGAAAUAGAUGGGAGAGGUUGAGGGUAGAGGAAGGACAUCAGAAAUAGAUGGGAGAGGUUGAGGGUAGAGGAAGGACAUCAGAAAUAGAUGGGAGAGGUUGAGGGUAGAGGAAGGACAUCAGAAAUAGAUGGGAGAGGUUGAGGGUAGAGGAAGGACAUCAGAAAUAGAUGGGAGAGGUGGAGGUUAGAGGAAGGACAUCAGAAAUAGAUGGGAGAGGUUGAGGGUAGAGGAAGGACAUCAGAAAUAGAUGGGAGAGGUUGAGGGUAGAGGAAGGACAUCAGAAAUAGAUGGGAGAGGUGGAGGUUAGAGGAAGGACAUCAGAAAUAGAUGGGAGAGGUGGAGGUUAGAGGAAGGACAUCAGAAAUAGAUGGGAGAGGUUGAGGUUAGAGGAAGGACAUCAGAAAUAGAUGGGAGAGGUGGAGGUUAGAGGAAGGACAUCAGAAAUAGAUGGGAGAGGUUGAGGGUAGAGGAAGGACAUCAGAAAUAGAUGGGAGAGGUGGAGGUUAGAGGAAGGACAUCAGAAAUAGAUGGGAGAGGUGGAGGUUAGAGGAAGGACAUCAGAAAUAGAUGGGAGAGGUGGAGGUUAGAGGAAGGACAUCAGAAAUAGAUGGGAGAGGUGGAGGUUAGAGGAAGGACAUCAGAAAUAGAUGGGAGAGGUUGAGGGUAGAGGAAGGACAUCAGAAAUAGAUGGGAGAGGUUGAGGGUAGAGGAAGGACAUCAGAAAUAGAUGGGAGAGGUGGAGGUUAGAGGAAGGACAUCAGAAAUAGAUGGGAGAGGUUGAGGGUAGAGGAAGGACAUCAGAAAUAGAUGGGAGAGGUGGAGGUUAGAGGAAGGACAUCAGAAAUAGAUGGGAGAGGUGGAGGUUAGAGGAAGGACAUCAGAAAUAGAUGGGAGAGGUGGAGGUUAGAGGAAGGACAUCAGAAAUAGAUGGGAGAGGUUGAGGGUAGAGGAAGGACAUCAGAAAUAGAUGGGAGAGGUGGAGGUUAGAGGAAGGACAUCAGAAAUAGAUGGGAGAGGUGGAGGUUAGAGGAAGGACAUCAGAAAUAGAUGGGAGAGGUGGAGGUUAGAGGAAGGACAUCAGAAAUAGAUGGGAGAGGUGGAGGGUAGAGGAAGGACAUCAGAAAUAGAUGGGAGAGGUGGAGGUUAGAGGAAGGACAUCAGAAAUAGAUGGGAGAGGUGGAGGUUAGAGGAAGGACAUCAGAAAUAGAUGGGAGAGGUGGAGG